CAAGACAUCAAGAUUCCAUCCCCAGGCCAUGGUUGUGGGCAGGAAGAACCUGACCUAGUUUUAAAGAACUCAGGAAAAAUAUCCUGUGUCCUCCUAAGCCCACCACUGUUGUCUGAAUGCUUGUUAGUCAGUUGCCCUCUGACUUUUAGCUCCGAUCCCAUCUUUGUGAGUAAGCCUCUCAGCUCCCUAGCCAAGGCCCCUUAAGGGGGCCUUCUGCGGAACUCUGUCAAUUAGGCCGCAUUUAGUAUCUGGGUCAAGAUGGAAAAAAAACUUUUUCUGUUGAAGGGUUUCUUACAUGUCUUUUGUGAAGACAAGGUUUUUGGUGUUCACUAAGAAUGAUAAACUGGUGCUGGUGAUCAGACUAGGGGAAGUUUCUACCCUGAUUAGGGUGUUCCCAGCUCCCUGACUUUCCGUGGAUGCAUCUGCUUUGAUCCUGGGUGGGUUCGCUCCAGGUCUGUCCUGGUGACCUGUCUUUGUGUGUUUCCAGCCUGGAGGUGGUGGCGUGGCUGAGCCUUUCCUGAGUCUAUGUGAAUGCGGUUUCACUGGGGGACAGUUGACUCCAUGCUUAGCUCCCUCUGGGUGACUUCCAGCCUUGGAAUUCGCUGGAGGCAAGGUGAGAGGCAGCCGCACCCGGAAUCCCAUCAGUGGCUCCUCUUUUGUGUACUUUGGCCUGACUCUGCUUGGCCUCCACUGGCCAGAUGUGUCCUGGAAGGUGGUGCUGGGCUCCUGGGGGCCUUACCCGCAAAUGACCCUAAAAAAGCCAUAAGAGUCAUUGCCUUCCAUGACAAUGACAUAGAGUCAUUGUGGUCCCGGUGGAGGAAGCAGCCUUCUUCCCCCUGCUACAGCCCGAUUACUCAGUACGAUGAUUCGUUACCAUACCAGGCAUCCUGAGGUUGGGCACCGUGGAGCGCCAUAUUGAAUGGAAGAAAGAUGGAAUGCCCUUGCAUCCAAAGAUGCCUGGUUCCAGUUCUUGAACAUCUGUGUUCAGGAGUGUGCACUCAGGAGCUGGACAGUCUGGGUUGGAAUUCACACCUUGCCAGUUGUCUUCAGACAGUGUGGAAUGGUGAGCUUGAGGAGAGUCCUGAAGGCAUUGGAUCUGAACACUGCUACCGUAAACUGCUAACCCUGGCCAGGACUCCAUGGACGAGGACCUGUUCCAGCAGGUGAUGGUCUGGACGUGAUCAGAGAAAGCCCCUCUGGCAACAAUUCUGAACCAAGAGCUCUGGAGAGUCGGCUUGGGGGCCUGCAUUUUCAGUACCUGGGUGAGUCACUGGAGCAGGUGCUAACUCAGGGUGGAAGCCUCUGUUGGUACCACGUACAUAAUGAGCCAUAACUCCAAGCAGUUGCACGACAGACUCAGAAAGACAAAGGGGCUUGAGUUGUUUUUGUAGAAAUGGAAACAAGCUUGCCCUGAGUCAUUCAUGCCCUUGCCAAACUGCUUUUGUUAGCAAUCAUUCACGUUUCCUAGAUCAUCUUUUACUUGUGGACUUCUCUCAAGCACAUCUGCCUCCACGUGGUCUGUGUAGUGAUGCAAAUUAUGACCUGGUGCCUCCUCACUAACUCUCUGCCAGCUGGUAAAUUCAGAAAGAUGCCCUGUGGAAAUGUCACAAAUCUUAAGAAGGUUAUUAAUGAUGAUACAGAAGAGAAAACGUUAAAAAUGGCUGCUGUGUAUUAUUUAUUGAAGUACAGUUGAUUUACAAUUUUGUGCUCAUUUCAGGUAUGCAGCAUAGUGAUGCAGUUACAUGCUCCUGCUCGGUUGCUCAGUUCUGUUGGAUUCUUUGCAACACUUGGGACUGUAGCCCACCAAGCUCCCCUGUCCAAGGGAUUUCCCAGGCAAGAAUACUGGAGUGGAUUGCCAUUUCCUACUCCAGGGGAUCUUCCCAACCCCAGGGAUCGAACCAGCAUCUCCUGCAUCGCAGGGCUUCGAUGUGAGCCUGCAAAGGAAGAGACGAGACUCUGAAAUUAAAUUUGGUCUUAAAGAGAAAUACACUGUAUUUCUUAUGCUCUCAAGCCUGCAGGCCAAGAGUUGCAGCCAUCGCCCCAGUGAACCAGUGAUGACUCUACUGUCAGAUGAUGCUGGCGAGAACUCUCAACUGUGUUCGGAUUUCAGGCAUAUCUUAGUGACAGCACUGCAAGGUCAUGGGGUGAGGGGUCACAGCCGAUAAGAAGCCUGGUGUUUCAGUUCUGACCUUGACCUUUGCUCAGAGCAUGACCUCAGCCAUUGAUCCACCUCUCUGGACCCUCAAUUUUUUAUUUAUAAAUUAACAUUGGGUUAAAUUAUCUCUGAUGUCCAUUAGUGGUCCACUGUUGUGAGACCGGAAAAGGAGACUCAGAUCCUAAAUUCAUUUCAAACGGGAACAGGAAAAAACCACAUGAGUUCCUUCUAACUCCCUAACUUCUGUUAUCAAGCAGUUCACCAUCUUUUCAUUUCUAUCCUAAUUUAUGCUCGCUUUUUAUGUAGCCUUGUAAGCAGCCACUUAAAAGCAUGUGGACAAGGUUGACUUGGUCCCAUUCUGUCCCUUGGCUCACUGGUGACAUUUCUCCUAGGUGACUGCAUAGGAAUUCCAGACAUUUGCCUUCUUCCUUGGUUCUCCAGUAGCCUUCGUUUGGUCUUAAAAUAGGCACAUGCUUUAUCAUGUGCUGACCUACUAAUGUGAAGAAAUCCCCAAUGUCGGUGAUUUAAAAGGGAGCCCCAGGAAGAUCAUCGUGUUCCUGACCCCGGUGACAGCAAUUAAGUCUGCAGCCUUCCUCAUGUGCAUGUCUGUCCUUGGAUGUAAGUUUUAAAAGAACCAUGGAACCAGCGAGACCAAAACAGAGGGUCUUUGGUACAUGUUAUUCCCCAAACAAAGAGGAAUAUCUAAAUCAGAAAAUGUAUGAAUUCUAAUAUUUCAUAUUUUCACUAAUGAUCUAAUUGUGGAAUAAUAUUUAUUUACUUCCAAUGGGCGACUGAAUAAAGAUGAAGAGAAACAGUUAUACCUGUAUAUGGUGGGCAUCUUUCUGUGCGUGUCCUACAGGUAAUAAUCCAUAGUUCAAUGAUACAAAAAGUGACUUUGUAGAAGCAAGAGUACUUUUUCUUGUGUCUGGAGGCAGUGUUAGGUGCCCAUCUUCAUGUUUCUUUGGCACCCUCAACUCACCUCUUAUAAAGCAUUUCUCACCCUUUCCUAUGAUUUCUGUUAAUGAGUCUUCUUUCCACACUGGACUGUGACCUUUAAGAGGAUAACUGUAUGAUUUAUUAUUUUCUACAGAGGA
ensembl:lncRNA